UGAAGGUUGUUAUGAACAUGUCUC
rnacentral:siRNA from 1 species